rnacentral:rRNA from 1 species
GAUGAACGCUGGCGGCGUGCUUAACACAUGCAAGUCGAACGGAAAGGCCCUGCUUUUGUGGGGUUCCCGAGUGGCGAACGGGUGAGUAUCACGUGAGUAACCUGCCCUUGACUUUGGGAUAACUUCAGGAAACUGGGGCUAAUAUCGGAUAGGAGCUCCUGCUGCAUGGUGGGGGUUGGAAAGUUUCGGCGGUUGGGGAUGGACUCGCGGCUUAUCAGCUUGUUGGUGGGGUAGUGGCUUACCAAGGCUUUGACGGGUAGCCGGCCUGAGAGGGUGACCGGCCACAUUAGGACUGAGGUACGGCCCAGACUCGUACGGGAGGCAACGGUGGGGAAGAUUACACAAUGGGAGGGAGCGUGAUGCGACAACGCCGCGUGCGGGAUGACGGCCUUCGGGUUGUAAACCGCUUUCGCCUGAGACGAAGCGUGAGUGACGGUAAUGGGUGAAGAAGCACCGGCUAACUACGUG